rnacentral:rRNA from 1 species
UACGUAGGCAGCGAGCGUUGUUCGGAAUUACUGGGCGUAAAGAGUGCGUAGGCGGUGCUCUAAGUUCGGUGUGAAAUCUCCUGGCUCAACUGGGAGGGUGCGCCGGAAACUGGAGUGCUUGAGCGUGGGAGAGGAAAGCGGAAUUCCUGGUGUAGCGGUGAAAUGCGUAGAUAUCAGGAAGAACACCCGUGGCGAAGGCGGCUCUCUGGAACGCAACUGACGCUGAGACGCGAAAGCGUGGGGAGCAAACAGG